CCUACGGGAGGCUGCAGUCGAGAAUCAUUCACAAUGGGGGAAACCCUGAUGGUGCGACGCCGCGUGGGGGAAUGAAGGUCUUCGGAUUGUAAACCCCUGUCAUGUGGGAGCAAAUUAAAAAGAUAGUACCACAAGAGGAAGAGACGGCUAACUCUGUGCCAGCAGCCGCGGUAAUACAGAGGUCUCAAGCGUUGUUCGGAAUCACUGGGCGUAAAGCGUGCGUAGGCUGUUUCGUAAGUCGUGUGUGAAAGGCGCGGGCUCAACCCGCGGACGGCACAUGAUACUGGGAGACUAGAGUAAGGGAGGGGGAACCGGAAUUCCCGGUGUAGGAGUGAAAUGCGUAGAUAUCGAGAGGAACACUCGUGGCGAAGGCGGGUUCCUGGACAUUAACUGACGCUGAGGCACGAAGGCCAGGGGAGCGAAAGGGAUUAGAUACCCCAGUAGUC
rnacentral:rRNA from 1 species